AGAACGAACGCUGGCGGCAGGCUUAACACAUGCAAGUCGAGCGCCCCGCAAGGGGAGCGGCAGACGGGUGAGUAACGCGUGGGAAUCUACCCAUCACUACGGAACAACUCCGGGAAUCUGGAGCUAAUACCGUAUACGUCCUUCGGGAGAAAGAUUUAUCGGUGAUGGAUGAGCCCGCGUUGGAUUAGCUAGUUGGUGGGGUAAUGGCCUACCAAGGCGACGAUCCAUAGCUGGUCUGAGAGGAUGAUCAGCCACAUUGGGACUGAGACACGGCCCAAACGUCCUACGGGAGGCAGCAGUGGGAAUAUUGGACAAUGGGCGAAAGCCUGAUCCAGCCAUGCCGCGUGAGUGAUGGAACGGCCCGUAGGGUUGUAAAGCUUACGUUACAACGGGUU
rnacentral:rRNA from 1 species